AUGGACAACACACAAGCUGCACAAGCACCGUUCAGGCUUCCUGAUGUCAGUCAGAAAAUCCUUUCUGACCUUUGCUCAUUUCUUUUCACUAGAGAAGUUGAGGAACAUGCAGAGAAAACCAAGUUCAUUGCAGCAUGCUUACCCAAUGAACGAUUUCCUGGCUCCUCAAUUUACCUUUACCAAAGUGGGAAAGUUGUGAGUCAGAAUUUGAAAGUUGAUAUAAAACCAGCACCUGUAGAAAUAAUUACAGUGAAGCAAACUUGUGUUACCUUGAAGUUGCAGAGUUUGAAGAUGGCAUUUGCUGAUCGGUACAGACUAGAGUAUAAAGCAGUGAGCUGCAGAGGAACGACCGGCACUGAGCCAAAAUGGAAAGCCAUUGAAAUCUGGAGAACUGGAUCAAAUGUUGUGGUUUUAGGUGUCAAUCCAGGGACACAUUACCAGCUCAGGCAUGCUAUAAUGAACAGUGACAGCAUGAGUGACUACAGCAGAAUCACAGAGUUUCAGACACUUGCUAGAGCCAGACCUGGACAGCCAACUGUGAUGAAACAGAAAACAGGCUCUCUCACUAUUUCCUGGUGCUGCGCGAAAAGUGAUGUUGACUCUCCUGUGCUCUGCUACAUGGUGGAGUAUAGCAAAGCUGGUCUGGAGGGUUGGCAGUCAGUUCUAACAGAGGGUCCCGAGUGUGAAUACACCAUAACCCUUCCCUACGGCACCUGCUACAGAUUCAGAGUCUCUGCUGUCUAUGAAGAGGGGGACUCCAGCAAACCCAGUGAAGAAACCAAUGUGCAACUGGAUGUGAAGAAUCCAUUACAGCUGACAGACUGGACGGAUGUAGAGAAUGAGGAAAGGACCUUUCUUCAGUGUCUCCCCUACAUCUCGCAGCUCAGGUUCGUUGAGCUCCAGCAGGGGACAGCAGCAGCUCUGCUUUCUGCUCUCCAGGACAAACUAGACUUCCCCUGCUGCUGCUGUCUGGACCUUAUAGAACACAUACCCAGAAACACUAUGAGCACUGAGGAAUGCAGAGUCAUCUCCUUAGGCAUUCAGGGAGCCUCCACACACACUCGGCUCAUUCAGCAGGACUGCGAGAUAGAGGAUGCAAAACUGAAGAAGCUCUUCAGAGUUUUACGCACAGACUGGAGUAAGAUACACACUCAGAGCUUCACAUAUAUACACAAGAGAUACAGGGUAGAACAUCUUAUGAAAUUUAUGACAUAAAAAUAUCGGGAUUGAAGCCUGUGGAAGGAAUAUUGUAACCAUAUAUAUUUGUAUCAUCUCUGUCUCAGCUGCAGCAAAGCUUCCGUUCCUGGCUCUUGUCAGUGUGGGCUCUGCUUGAAGAACUGGAAAUCAGUUGGCAAAGCUGUACCUGCAGGUCAGUCGGUCACUGAUCGUAAUUCCUAAACUGCAUAUGUGUGUUUAUUAUAUUGCACAGUAUGGUUGUAUAAUAUAAAUGAUUUAUUCUCAGUUUGGUUGUAUGUGUGUAAGUAAAUAGGGGUAAUAAUUUAUCCCUUGUCUCUACAGGUCCUGAGUCCAGAGCAUUGAACCUGAUGCUAUUACUGUAUGAUUACAUUUGAGAAGUAAUAAUGAUCGUUUCCUUGUAAACUGACUUUUAAUUUUUUUUCAUGUAAAAUUGACAAAUUCUUAAUAGUAGACAAUUUUAGUGGCACUACAAUUUCACACAGAGAUAGAACAUCGGAAGACAGUGGCUUGGGCCCUAAAAUAUAGUUCCUCCUGAAACUCAGCGUAAAUGUAUUGUAUGCAACAUCUAUAUGACUUGCAUUUAUCCCAUUUCUGCUCACAGAUUAGGACUAUAGUUUGAUAUAAAAUGCAGAGAUUGUCGGUGUAAACCUGAUGUGGAAAAACUAAUCUGUGCCUUUAUCUCCAGCAGAAUUGAUUACUGUUUUAGUCAACUAACUGGUCUUCCAAAAAAAUACAACCAAACCAAAUUGUAGAAUGCAGGUGCUAAAGUUCUCGACAGCAACACGUCCCUAUUGCUGGUCUAAAAGUGUCUCAGUGGGACCAGCAUAUUUAUCUGAUUUGAUGCAGAGAUAUGAACAGAGAAGACCCCUUAGAUAUUUAGGAAUGAGUCAGUUAGUCCAGCCUAAGGUAAAAGCUAAACAUGAAGUGGCAGUGUUUAUCUACUUUGCUGCUGUUAUUUGGAACCAGUAGAAUAUGCAGUUUAUUGUAAUUUAUUAUUCAUUUUCAAUUAUUUUUUAAAGCUUUCUUGCUUUUACUGUUUAUUAUGUCUUUGUAUAUUUUUUCACAUCUAUUUAGUUUGUAUGCCUUUGUGUGUUUUCCUUGUUCAUGUAAAGCACUCUGGAUUACCACAGUGUCAAACAUAGUAUUUUAUAAUUGCAGUUUAAUUGUCAAAUGUGUUUUGCAUAUUGUGCUAUGAAAAAAAAAGAUUUAUUUUUUAUUAUUUUUGUUUAAUAAUGUGACAUUUUAAAUAAGGAAUGCCUCUAAUAACAGUGCCUCUAAUUGAUGGAUACCAUGAAGGAAAAUAUUUCUUUCGCAUUUUUCUUGAUAUGCCCCUUUCAAGCUACUCGUACAUUUGUGUCACUACUGAAACGCAAGGCAACCACUGUACCAUUACACAAUAACUGUACACCUCUGCAUUGUUUUUGUUAGUAACGAAUUUAUCAUUAGGGUUAGACACACUGAACCAAAAGCCCACAUCAGUAUAACAAGCUUGAGUUGUUCAUUCACAGGGAGGAUUCCAGUUGAAGCAUCAAUACAGUAGUUUGUUCUUGUCCGUUAUAAUUUAUUUGUCCCUGAAAACAAAUCUCCUCCAUUAAACUACUACUUAACCAACUACUCCCUUGUACCUGGCAUGAUGUCAUUCUACUUUCAACUAGCAUCAAUUACACUUAUCGUCAAAAAAAAGGUGCCACCCAGAAAGAAAUGUCAGAUUGCAAUUCUAUUGAGAGUAAAGGUAAAGGUUACUAGAACAACUCUCAACUCUUGUUCAUAUACAGCUCUGGAAAAAAAUAAGAGACCAAUUCAUUUUCUCUGAUUUUGCUAUUUAUAGGUAUACAGUUCGGACACACCUUCUCAUUCAAUGCGUUUUCUUUAUUUUCAUGACUAUUUAAAUUGUAGAUUCUCACGGAAGGCAUCAAAACUGAAGAAUGAACUAUAUGUUUGAGUAAAAUGAACAUUGUUGUUUUAUUCUUUAAACAACAGACAACAUUUCCUCCAAAGUUUUAAUAAAAAAUAUAGAGCGUUUAUUUGCA
ensembl:lncRNA